GCAUUGGCAAUGCAUACUCUACAGAAAGACAGAUGCGCACCUUUUUCUAAAUGCGAAUGAUAUCCGGUUUCUGGGGCGCCGAGAAAGAUAGUUGCAAGUGUGAGACACAAGCACCGGCUGGAUCUGCGGAACUGCGAGUCUGCGAGUCUGCGGAACCUUCAGGCGGUGCACAUGCUCCGCUACAUACAGAUCGCAAUGCAUGAGACUGUAAGAAGAGCCAU
rnacentral:lncRNA from 1 species